rnacentral:ncRNA from 12 species
AAGCCUUGAGGACGGAACGGGCCGCCGUCGCCCCCAAUUUAGGGUUAGGAGAUGCAGGAAUGUCACCCUGCCAAGGUUG